CCCAGGGCUUGCGCCCUGGGCUGAUAUGAUGCCGCCCUUUCAGGGCG
rnacentral:sRNA from 1 species